UACGUAGGGGGCAAGCGUUGUCCGGAAUUAUUGGGCGUAAAGAGCUCGUAGGCGGUCUGUUGCGUCCGCUGUGAAAACUCGGGGCUUAACCCCGAGCCUGCAGUGGAUACGGGCAGACUAGAGGUAGGUAGGGGGAGAAUGGAAUUCCUGGUGUAGCGGUGGAAUGCGCAGAUAUCAGGAGGAACACCAAUAGCGAAGGCAGCUCGCUGGGACGUUACUGACACUGAGGAGCGAAAGCGUGGGGAGCGAACAGG
rnacentral:rRNA from 1 species